rnacentral:tRNA from 1 species
GGUCUUAUAGUCAAAUUAAUGAUAUUAAAUUGCAAAUUUAAGGGUGGGAUUUCCUAAGGCUU